GACAGAGGGUGCAAACGUUGUUCGGAAUUACUGGGCGUAAAGCGCGUGUAGGCGGCUAAGUGAGUCGGGCGUGAAAUCCCACGGCUCAACCGUGGAAGUGCACUCGAAACUGCAUAGCUAGAGUCCUGGAGAGGAAGGUGGAAUGCUUGGUGUAGAGGUGAAAUUCGUAGAUAUCAAGCGGAACACCGGUGGCGAAGGCGGCCUUCUGGACAGUGACUGACGCUGAGACGCGAAAGCGUGGGAGCAAACAGG
rnacentral:rRNA from 1 species